UACGAAGGGGGCUAGCGUUGCUCGGAAUUACUGGGCGCAAAGGGAGCGUAGGCGGACUGUUAAGUUAGAGGUGAAAGCCCAGGGCUCAACCUUGGAAUUGCCUUUGAUACUGGCAGUCUUGAGUACGGAAGAGGUAUGUGGAACUCCGAGUGUAGAGGUGAAAUUCGUAGAUAUUCGGAAGAACACCAGUGGCGAAGGCGACAUACUGGUCCGUUACUGACGCUGAGGCUCGAAAGCGUGGGGAGCAAACAGG
rnacentral:rRNA from 1 species